GUCUUUUUGAAAAUAAUUUAAAGUCUAAUCUGCCCACUGAGGAAUUAAAUGGCCGCGGUAAUUUGACCGUGCUAAGGUAGCAUAAUCAUUAGUUUUUUAAUUAAAAGCUGGAAUGAAUGAUUGAAUAAGAAAAUAACUGUCUCUGUUUAAAUAAAAAUGAAUUUUAUUUUUAAGUAAAAAAGCUUAAAUGUUAUUAAAAGACGAGAAGACCCUAUAGAGUUUAAUAUAUAAAUUAGAUUUAAAGGUUUAGUAUUUUCUGAAUAAGUAAAGUUUAUAUAUUUGAUUGGGGCGAUAAAAAAAUUUGAUAAACUUUUUUAUUUAAAAACAUUUAUUAAUGAAAAAUUGAUCCAUUUUUUAUGAUUAAAAGAUUAAAUUACCUUAGGGAUAACAGCGUAAUUUUUUUUUAGAGUUCAAAUCAAAAAAAAAGAUUGCGACCUCGAUGUUGGAUUAAAAUUAAUUUUUGGUGUAGAAGCUAAAAAUUUUAGGUCUGUUCGACCUUUAAAAUUUUACAUGA
rnacentral:rRNA from 1 species